GCUCAGGUGGUGGAAUUGGUAGACACGCACGCUUGAGGGGCGUGUAUCGAAAGAUGUGCUGGUUCAAGUCCAGUUCUGAGCACCA
rnacentral:tRNA from 1 species